rnacentral:rRNA from 1 species
UGCGCCUACGGGACGCAGCAGUGAGGAAUAUUGGUCAAUGGGCGGAAGCCUGAACCAGCCAAGUCGCGUGAGGGAAUAAGGCCCUACGGGUCGUAAACCUCUUUUGCCGGGGAGCAAGGGCCGGGACGCGUCCCGGCCCGGAGAGUACCCGGAGAAAAAGCCCCGGCUAACUACGUGCCAGCAGCCGCGGUAAUACGUAGGGGGCAAGCGUUAUCCGGAUUUACUGGGUGUAAAGGGGGCGCAGACGGCGAUGCAAGCCAGGAGUGAAAGCCCGGGGCCCAACCC